CUAAAUUUCAUAGCAAUUCGAUACCAAAUACAUAGUUCAGUACACACUCGAAAUUACCGAAUACUACAAAAUUGAAUUAACAAUUCAAAAAUAAAAGAAAAUAGGUUUGAAACCCACACCUUAAUUUGCGAUAAAACGCCCCAACAAUCAAUGAACCACAAAGCCAUCACUUGCUGCACAAUUAUAUCUCCCUCAAGAACCCGAAACCAAAUCAAAACAAUGAAACUGCAAUGACGGAAAAGAAAGAAUUUCGUGAGAAGAGAGGGAGAGAGGAGAAAAGAGGAACUUAUAGAGAAACAUUAGGAAACCCUAAAACGUGAAAGAAAACUCCUAUUUUUCCCCUCUUUUUUUCAUAUCAAAAAUAAAAAUAUAAAUAAAAAUAAGAAAAAACAAAUAAAAAAAUCUAACCUUUUAAAACCAGAACAAAGCUAAAUCAAAAUAAUUCCUUCAAAACGCACUUGAGGACUCAAACCCGGAACCCCUAGGCUAAACUAACACACAACCAACCACUAGACCAACAGACCCAUUUUGACACUUGAUUGCAAAAAUAUACACAACAGUUUGAUCUAGCCACUG
rnacentral:lncRNA from 1 species